UACGAAGGGGGCUAGCGUUGCUCGGAAUCACUGGGCGUAAAGCGCACGUAGGCGGACUCUUAAGUCAGGGGUGAAAUCCUGGAGCUCAACUCCAGAACUGCCUUUGAUACUGGGGAUCUCGAGUCCGGGAGAGGUGAGUGGAACUCCGAGUGUAGAGGUGAAAUUCGUAGAUAUUCGGAAGAACACCAGUGGCGAAGGCGGCUCACUGGCCCGGUACUGACGCUGAGGUGCGAAAGCGUGGGGAGCAAACAGG
rnacentral:rRNA from 1 species